GUCUCUGCCACUUUAAGGGCCUGGAGCUGGCAGCCUCCAGGUGCCUGAUUAGGGCAGCCAUUUUGAGGCUUAGGCUGCUUAUAUAAACAAGGCAGUUUGGCUGCAGGAGGCCAGGCAGCAACAUUGCCUGGCUGUAGGGCUGCUGUGAACGACCCGGAGGAGUGGGGUGCAAGGAAAGAGAAGAGGAAGAUAAGAAACUGCUGAAGAGAUGGAGUAUCUGAAAACCCCCAAGGAGCUAAAUCUCUCAGAACUGGCUGAGUUCAACUGAGAAAAGACAGAGCUGUUGGAUGUUGUUAAGAGUUGUCUGAAAAGCACUGCUAGAGUCUUUCAUUAAGAUUGGCAUUUCAUUAAUAAAUUCACUUCAGUGAAAUGAAAAAAGGGGGAACAUCUCCAAAGGUGAAUUGAACACAAGAAUAAUGGAGUGACCUUUGUCACUUAGAUGGCAUUCAUGGUCUUUGUGUUAUAUACUCUUCACUGAUACCCACUUCAGUGUACAUAACUUCUCAACUACUUAGAAAGAACAAUUUGCCAGAAGUCUUACAAGAUUUGGCUACAAGAUCCUUUAGUUAGUUGAAUACUUGACAGUUUUAGCUUCCAUGAAUUAAAAAAAGGAAAAGAAAAGAUGCAGACAUCCUAAAACUCCGAGAUCCACUCAGUUGUAGAAAAAAGCUAGAAAAUAUUAUUCUGAUGAACACGAAAAGUUCACAAAAGAUCCAGAAGGCAAAUAAAAACCCCCCAAUACUUUUCCCUUUAAUCUCUUGACUGUUAAGCCAAAUUCAUGAUUUUCAAAUACUUGGUGCUGGAAAUACAAUCUGUAGCAUGGUACGAGUACAAAGAAAAAAAGUCAAACUGAA